rnacentral:rRNA from 1 species
GACGAACGCUGGCGGCGUGCCUAAUACAUGCAAGUUGAGCGAUGAAGCUUGGUGCUUGCACCAAUUUGAAGAGCAGCGAACGGGUGAGUAACGCGUGGGGAAUCUGCCUUUGAGCGGGGGACAACAUUUGGAAACGAAUGCUAAUACCGCAUAACAACUUUAAACAUAAGUUUUAAGUUUGAAAGAUGCAAUUGCAUCACUCAAAGAUGAUCCCGCGUUGUAUUAGCUAGUUGGUGAGGUAAAGGCUCACCAAGGCGAUGAUACAUAGCCGACCUGAGAGGGGGAUCGGCCACAUUGGGACUGAGACACGGCCCAAACUCCUACGGGAGGCAGCAGUAGGGAAUCUUCGGCAAUGGACGAAAGUCUGACCGAGCAACGCCGCGGGAGUGAAGAAGGUUUUCGGAUCGUAAAACUCUGUUGGUAGAGAAGAACGUUGGUGAGAGUGGAAAGCUCAUCAAGUGACGGUAACUACCCAGAAAGGGACGGCUAACUACGUG